GACGAACGCUGGCGGCGUGCUUAACACAUGCAAGUCGAACGGAAAGGCCCUGCUUUUGUGGGGUGCUCGAGUGGCGAACGGGUGAGUAACACGUGAGUAACCUGCCCUUGACUUUGUGAUAACUUCAGGAAACUGGGGCUAAUACCGGAUAGGAGCUCCUGCUGCAUGGUGGGGGUUGGAAAGUGUCGGCGGUUGGGGAUGGACUGGCGGCUUAUCAGCUUGUUGGGGGGGUAGUGGCUUACCAAGGCUUUGACGGGUAGCCGGCCUGAGAGGGUGACCGGCCACAUUGGGACUGAGAUACGGCCCAGACUCCUACGGGAGGCAGCAGUGGGGAAUAUUGCACAAUGGGCGGAAGCCUGAUGCAGCAACGCCGCGUGCGGGAUGACGGCCUUCGGGUUGUAAACCGCUUUCGACUGUGACGAAGCGUGAGUGACGGUAAUGGGUAAAGAAGCACCGGCUAACUACGUG
rnacentral:rRNA from 1 species